rnacentral:rRNA from 1 species
UGGGGAAUUUUGCACAAUGGGGGAAACCCUGAUGCAGCGACGCCGCGUGAUUUAGAAGGCCUUCGGGUUGUAAAAAUCUUUUCUAUGGGAAGAAAAUGACAGUACCAUAGGAAUAAGGACCGGCUAAUUACGUGCCAGCAGCCGCGGUAAUACGUAAGGUCCGAGCGUUGUCCGGAAUCAUUGGGCGUAAAGGGUACGUAGGCGGGUAAGCAAGUUAGAAGUGAAAUCCUAUAGCUCAACUAUAGUAAGCUUUUAAAACUGCUCAUCUUGAGGUAUGGAAGGGAAAGUGGAAUUCCUAGUGUAGCGGUGAAAUGCGCAGAUAUUAGGAGGACUACCGGUGGCGAAGGCGACUUUCUGGCCAUAACCUGACGCUGAGGUACGAAAGCGUGGGUAGCAAACAGG